CCUACGGGGGGCUGCAGUGGGGAAUAUUGGACAAUGGGGGCAACCCUGAUCCAGCCAUGCCGCGUGUGUGAAGAAGGCCCUCGGGUUGUAAAGCACUUUCAGUGAGGAAGAACGCCUGGUGGUUAAUACCCAUCAGGAAAGACAUCACUCACAGAAGAAGCACCGGCUAACUCCGUGCCAGCAGCCGCGGUAAUACGGAGGGUGCGAGCGUUAAUCGGAAUUACUGGGCGUAAAGCGCGCGUAGGUGGCUUGAUAAGCCGGUUGUGAAAGCCCCGGGCUCAACCUGGGAACGGCAUCCGGAACUGUCAAUCUAGAGUGCAGGAGAGGAAGGUAGAAUUCCCGGUGUAGCGGUGAAAUGCGUAGAGAUCGGGAGGAAUACCAGUGGCGAAGGCGGCCUUCUGGACUGACACUGACGCUGAGGUGCGAAAGCGUGGGUAGCAAACAGGAUUAGAUACCCUUGUAGUC
rnacentral:rRNA from 1 species